GCUAAUACCGGAUAACAACACUAGACGCAUGUCUAGAGUUUAAAAGAUGGUUCUGCUAUCACUCUUGGAUGGACCUGCGGUGCAUUAGCUAGUUGGUAAGGUAACGGCUUACCAAGGCAAUGAUGCAUAGCCGAGUUGAGAGACUGAUCGGCCACAUUGGGACUGAGACACGGUCCAAACUCCUACGGGAGGCAGCAGCC
rnacentral:rRNA from 1 species